rnacentral:rRNA from 1 species
UACGGGGGGGAGCAAGCGUUGUUCGGAUUUACUGGGCGUAAAGGGCGCGUAGGCGGCCACUGCAAGUCGGUUGUGAAAUCUCCGGGCUUAACCCGGAAAGGUCAAUCGAUACUGCAGGGCUAGAGUGCGGAAGGGGCAACUGGAAUUCUCGGUGUAGCGGUGAAAUGCGUAGAUAUCGAGAGGAACACCUGCGGCGAAGGCGGGUUGCUGGGCCGACACUGACGCUGACAGCGCGAAAGCUAGGGGAGCGAACGGG